rnacentral:rRNA from 1 species
GCUUGCUUUCUCGAGCGAGUGGCGAACGGGUGAGUAACGCGUGAGGAACCUGCCUCAAAGAGGGGGACAACAGUUGGAAACGACUGCUAAUACCGCAUAAGCCCACGACCCGGCAUCGGGAAGAGGGAAAAGGAGCAAUCCGCUUUGAGAUGGCCUCGCGUCCGAUUAGCUGGUUGGUGAGGUAAUGGCCCACCAAGGCGACGAUCGGUAGCCGGACUGAGAGGUUGAACGGCCACAUUGGGACUGAGACACGGCCCAGACUCCUACGGGAGGCAGCAGUGGGGAAUAUUGCACAAUGGGKGAAACCCUGAUGCAGCGACGCCGCGUGGAGGAAGAAGGUCUUCGGAUUGUAAACUCCUGUCGUUGAGGAAGAUAAUGACGGUACUCAACAAGGAAGUGACGGCUAACUACGUGCCAGCAGCCGCGGUAAAACGUAGGUCACAAGCGUUGUCCGGAAUUACUGGGUGUAAAGGGAGCGCAGGCGGGAAGACAAGUUGGAAGUGAAAUCCAUGGGCUCAACCCAUGAACUGCUUUCAAAACUGUUUUUCUUGAGUAGUGCAGAGGUAGGCGGAAUUCCCGGUGUAGCGGUGGAAUGCGUAGAUAUCGGGAGGAACACCAGUGGCGAAGGCGGCCUACUGGGCACCAACUGACGCUGAGGCUCGAAAGUGUGGGUAGCAAACAGGAUUAGAUACCCUGGUAGUCCACACCGUAAACGAUGAUUCUAGGUGUUGGAGGAUUGACCCCUUCAGUGCCGCAGUUAACACAAUAAGUAAUCCACCUGGGGAGU